rnacentral:rRNA from 1 species
CCUACGGGAGGCAGCAGUGAGGAAUAUUGGUCAAUGGCCGUAAGGCUGAACCAGCCAAGCCGCGUGAAGGAAGAAGGAUCUAUGGUUUGUAAACUUCUUUUAUACGAGAAUAAAGGUAGCUACGCGUGUCUAUUUGCAUGUACCCUACGAAUAAGCAUCGGCUAACUCCGUGCCAGCAGCCGCGGUAAUACGGAGGGUGCGAGCGUUAUUCGGAUUUAUUGGGUUGAAAGGGCGCGUAGGUGGUUUUUUAAGUCAGCGGUGAAAGUUUGGGGCUCAACCAGAGAACUGCCGUUGAAACUGGAAGGCUUGAGUGUGUGAGAGGUAAGUGGAAUGCGAGGUGGAGCAGUGAAAUGCAUAGAUAUCACGAAGAACACCGAUGGCGAAGGCAGCUUACUAGGACAUAACUGACACUGAGGCACGAAAGCGUGGGGAGCAAACAGGAUUAGAUACCCUUGUAGUC